GACGAACGCUGGCGGCGCGCCUCAUACAUGCAAGUCGAGCGUGAAGCGGGACUUCGGUCCCGUGGAAAGCGGCGAACGGGUGCGUAACACGUGAGCAACCUGCCCCGAAGACUGGGAUAACCCGGGGAAACCCGGGCCAAUACCGGAUGUCCUCCUCCGAUCGCAUGGUUGGAAGAGGAAAUAUUCAGGCGCUUCGGGAUGGGCUCGCGGCCUAUCAGCUUGUUGGUGGGGUAACGGCCUACCAAGGCGACGACGGGUAGCUGGUCUGAGAGGACGAUCAGCCACACUGGGACUGAGACACGGCCCAGACUCCUACGGGAGGCAGCAGUAGGGAAUCUUGCGCAAUGAGGGAAACCUUGACGCAGCGACGCCGCGUGCGGGAUGAAGGCCUUCGGGUUGUAAACCGCUUUCAGCAGGGACGAAAUUGACGGUACCUGCAGAAGAAGGCCCGGCCAACUACGUGCCAGCCGCCGCUGUAAUAC
rnacentral:rRNA from 1 species